rnacentral:rRNA from 1 species
AAUGGGGGAAACCCUGAUGCAGCCAUGCCGCGUGUGUGAAGAAGGCCUUCGGGUUGUAAAGCACUUUCAGUUGUGAGGAAAGGUUAGUAGUUAAUAACUGCUAGCUGUGACGUUAGCAACAGAAGAAGCACCGGCUAACUCCGUGCCAGCAGCCGCGGUAAUACGGAGGGUGCGAGCGUUAAUCGGAAUUACUGGGCGUAAAGCGUACGUAGGCGGUUUGUUAAGUCAGAUGUGAAAUCCCGGGGCUCAACCUCGGAACUGCAUUUGAAACUGGCAAACUAGAGUAUUGUAGAGGGUGGUGGAAUUUCCAGUGUAGCGGUGAAAUGCGUAGAGAUUGGAAGGAACAUCAGUGGCGAAGGCGGCCACCUGGACAAAUACUGACGCUGAGGUACGAAAGCGUGGGGAGCAAACAGGAUU